rnacentral:tRNA from 1 species
UGUCUUGUAGUAUAUUACUCCCAAUUACUGUAAACUGCAACUUUACCAAAGCCUAAUAGUGCCAAGACAU